rnacentral:sRNA from 1 species
UAGUGAAUGUUAGAAUGAAGACGCGUU